rnacentral:rRNA from 1 species
ACGAACGCUGGCGGCGUGCUUAACACAUGCAAGUCAAGGGGGCCCGCAAGGGCAACCGGCGAACGGGUGCGUAACACGUGAGCAAGCUUCCGAUUUGUGGGGGAUAGCCGGCCCAACGGCCGGGUAAUACCGCAUACGUUCACUGGACGGCAUCGUCUGGUGAGGAAACCUCCGGGGCAAAUCGAGGCGCUCGCGGCCUAUCAGCUAGUUGGCGGGGUAAUGGCCACCAAGGCUACGACGGGUAGCUGGUCUGAGAGGAUGGCCAGCCACAUUGGGACUGCGACACGGCCCAGACUCCUACGGGAGGCAGCAGUGGGGAAUAUUGCGCAAUGGACGAAAGUCUGACGCAGCGACGCCGCGUGUGGGAUGAAGCCUUUCGGGGCGUAAACCACUGUUGCCCGGGACGAAACUCCUUUUUCGAGAGGAUUGACGGUACCGGGUGAGGAAGCACCGGCUAACUCUGU